UUCAUCAUGGUAUUCACAAUGGCGUGCAAUUUAAAACUUUGCUUGUUUCAGAAAUUUUCCAUGUAAUAUUUUUGGACCGUAAAUGACCAGAGGUA